GACAGAGGAUGCAAGCGUUAUCCGGAAUGAUUGGGCGUAAAGCGUCUGUAGGUGGCUUUUCAAGUCCGCCGUCAAAUCCCAGGGCUCAACCCUGGACAGGCGGUGGAAACUACCAAGCUGGAAGUACGGUAGGGGCAGGAGGGAAUUUCCGGUGGAGGCGGUGAAAUGCAUUGAGAUCGGAAAGAAACACCAACGGCGAAAGCA
rnacentral:rRNA from 1 species